UUACAGUACAUGUGAUGUGAAAACAGCCCC
rnacentral:piRNA from 1 species